UAGGGAAUAUUGGACAAUGGGGGCAACCCUGAUCCAGCCAUGCCGCGUGAAUGAUAAGGCCUUCGGGUUGUAAAGUUCUUUUGGUGGGGACGAUGAUGACGGUACCCACAGAAUAAGCUCCGGCUAACUUCGUGCCAGCAGCCGCGGUAAUACGAAGGGAGCUAGCGUUGUUCGGAAUUACUGGGCGUAAAGGGUGCGUAGGUGGCGUGAUAAGUCAGGUGUGAAAUCCCUGGGCUCAACCCGGGAAUUGCAUUUGAUACUAUCGCGCUUGAAUUCGGGAGAGGUAAGUGGAAUUCCCAGUGUAGAGGUGAAAUUCGUAGAUAUUGGGAAGAACACCCGUGGCGAAGGCGGCUUACUGGACCGACAUUGACACUGAGGCACGAAAGUGUGGGGAGCAAAC
rnacentral:rRNA from 1 species